UACAGAGGUCUCAAGCGUUGUUCGGAUUCAUUGGGCGUAAAGGGUGCGUAGGCGGCGCGGUAAGUCGGGUGUGAAAUCUUGGAGCUUAACUCCGAAACUGCAUUCGAUACUGCCGUGCUUGAGGACUGGAGAGGAGACUGGAAUUUACGGUGUAGCGGUGAAAUGCGUAGAUAUCGUAAGGAAGACCAGUGGCGAAGGCGGGUCUCUGGACAGUUCCUGACGCUGAGGCACGAAGGUCAGGGGAGUAAACGGG
rnacentral:rRNA from 1 species